rnacentral:rRNA from 1 species
UACGUAGGGGGCUAGCGUUGUCCGGAUUUAUUGGGCGUAAAGAGCGUGUAGGCGGCCAUGUAGGUCCGGUGUGAAAACUCGAGGCUUAACCUCGAGAUGUCAUCGGAAACCAUUUGGCUAGAGUCCGGAAGAGGAGAGUGGAAUUCCUGGUGUAGCGGUGAAAUGCGCAGAUAUCAGGAAGAACACCAAUGGCGAAAGCAGCUCUCUGGGACGGUACUGAUGCUGAGACGCGAAAGCGUGGGGAGCAAACAGG